UGCUGUGUAGCAUAGUGGUUAAGGAGCAGGACUCGUAACCGAAAGGUUGCUGGUUCGAUCCCUGCUGGGGCAC
rnacentral:tRNA from 1 species